rnacentral:rRNA from 1 species
UACGUAGGGUGCGAGCGUUGUCCGGAAUUACUGGGCGUAAAGGGCUCGUAGGUGGUUUGUCGCGUUGUUCGUGAAAACCUGAGGCUUAACCUUGGGCGUGCGGGCGAUACGGGCAGACUGGAGUACUGCAGGGGAGACUGGAAUUCCUGGUGUAGCGGUGGAAUGCGCAGAUAUCAGGAGGAACACCUGCGGUGUAGACGGCUUACUGGACCAUAACUGACGCUGAGGCACGAAAGCGUGGGUAGCAAACAGG